CCUACGGGUGGCAGCAGUGAGGAAUAUUGGUCAAUGGGCGGGAGCCUGAACCAGCCAAGCCGCGUGAGGGAAGAAGGUACAGCGUAUCGUAAACCUCUUUUGCCGGGGAGCAACGGGCGCCACGUGUGGCGUCACUGAGAGUACCCGGAGAAAAAGCAUCGGCUAACUCCGUGCCAGCAGCCGCGGUAAUACGGAGGAUGCGAGCGUUAUCCGGAUUUAUUGGGUUUAAAGGGUGCGUAGGCGGAUCGUUAAGUCAGUGGUCAAAUUGAGGGGCUCACCCCCUUCCCGCCAUUGAAACUGGCGUUCUUGAGUGGAAGAGAAGUAUGCGGAAUGCGUGGUGUAGCGGUGAAAUGCAUAGAUAUCACGCAGAACCCCGAUUGCGAAGGCAGCAUGCCGGCUUCCGACUGACGCUGAAGCACGAAAGCGUGGGGAUCGAACAGGAUUAGAUACCCCUGUAGUC
rnacentral:rRNA from 1 species